GAAGCCGGAAUUGCUAGUAAUGGCAGGUCAGCAUACUGCCGUGAAUACGUUCCCGGGCCUUGUACACACCGCCCGUCACACCAUGAGAGUUGGGGAUACCCGAAGCCUGUGAGCUAACUUAACGGAGGCAGCAGUCGAAGGUAGAAUCAAUGAUUGGGGUGAAGUCGUAACAAGGUAUC
rnacentral:rRNA from 1 species